rnacentral:rRNA from 1 species
UAAGGAAUAUUGGUCAAUGGACGCAAGUCUGAACCAGCCAUGCCGCGUGAAGGAUGAAGGUCCUCUGGAUUGUAAACUUCUUUUAUCUGGGACGAAAACGGGAUUUUUAUCUCAAUUGACGGUACCAGAGGAAUAAGCACCGGCUAACUCCGUGCCAGCAGCCGCGGUAAUACGGAGGGUGCGAGCGUUAUCCGGAUUUACUGGGUUUAACGGGUGAGUAGGUGGGCUUAUAAGUCAGUGGUGAAAUCUCCGAGCUUAACUUGGAAACUGCCGUUGAUACUAUAGGUCUUGAAUUAUCUGGAGGUAAGCGGAAUAUGUCAGGUAGCGGUGAAAUGCUUAGAUAUGACAUAGAACACCAAUUGCGAAGGCAGCUUACUACAUAUAAAUUGACGCUGAGGCACGAAAGCGUGGGGAUCAAACA